UAACAAUACAGGACUCUUUAGAGGCCCUGUAAUUGUAAUGAGUCCACCUGAAAUCCUUUAACUAGUAUUAAUUGGAGGGCAAGUCUGGUGCAGAGCGACUGACCCAUGCGUGCUGCAGCUGAAA